GGGGAAUAUUGGACAAUGGGGGCAACCCUGAUCCAGCAAUGCCGCGUGUGUGAAGAAGGUCUUCGGAUUGUAAAGCACUUUCGACGGGGACGAUGAUGACGGUACCCGUAGAAGAAGCCCCGGCUAACUUCGUGCCAGCAGCCGCGGUAAUACGAAGGGGGCUAGCGUUGCUCGGAAUGACUGGGCGUAAAGGGCGUGUAGGCGGUUUACACAGUCAGAUGUGAAAUCCCCGGGCUUAACCUGGGAGCUGCAUUUGAUACGUGUAGACUAGAGUGUGAGAGAGGGUUNGUGGAAUUCCCAGUGUAGAGGUGAAAUUCGUAGAUAUUGGGAAGAACACCGGUGGCGAAGGCGGCA
rnacentral:rRNA from 1 species